UAGUCAAGUCAUUUCGCUGUUGUUAAUCCGGUCUCUUUUCAGUAUUUAUUGGCAAUAGUGUAGAGUAAAACAUUAUUGAACUCUACGGCCAUGAUGAAAAGAGUAGUUUCAGGGGUUCCAUUGCAGCAUUUUCGAAAUGGAUAGUCAUGGAAAUCCGGACGGUUUGCACGGACAAAAACCAUAUCAACCUUUGGAACGAGUGUUGACAAUGUAUGACAACCAGCAGAGGGUGCAAAAGACCACAAAAACGCACACCGGCGGCUCCUGUGGAACAUGAACCAGUGAGAUUUUUUACUGGAAAAGGGCACCUGAUGAGCCAGAAGAUGAGCCUACAACCUCGAAGAAAACAAAAUCUAUGCUACUUCCCAAUCUCCAAAGACCCAUGAACUGCGAAGGAGUGGAUUAUGUGUCUGUGAAUAAACCGACUGUUUCGAGCAUGUCUGUGCAACAGGAGGAUCAGCUUGUAGAGAUCGCAAAUGACGGUGACCUUAAACGCACAUUUGAGACAACAACUCUACCAAGGUUCUGGAUUAAAGUAAUUCCGGAAUAUCCUGACAUCGCUAGGAGAGCACUGAAAACCGUGGUACAAUUUCCAACAUUGUAUCUUUGUGAAGCGGGCUUCUCUCACUCCCCCAUCAUACCGAGAUCGGACCAUAUCGUCUCAACGAAACAAGCUUAGGCCUCCCACUGAUUCAGCGGCUGCUUAUGUUUGGAGACUGGACUUCUGGUACUCUAGUUUCUUUCCCUACCGAGCAGCGGAUGCAGCUGAGCCCCUUCACCGUAACAAAGCACUCACAG